GGGCGGAUAGCUCAAACGGCCAGAGCGCUUGCCUUACAAGCAAGAGGCUCCGGGUUCGAAUCCCGGUCUGCCCACCA
rnacentral:tRNA from 1 species